rnacentral:tRNA from 1 species
GAGGGUGUAGCUCAGUGGUAGAGUGUGUGCUUAGCAUGCACAAGGUCCUAGGUUCGACCCCCAGUACCUCCA